rnacentral:rRNA from 1 species
GUGGGGAAUAUUGGGCAAUGGGCGCAAGCCUGACGCAGCGACGCCGCGUGAGGGAUGAAGGUUUUCGGAUCGUAAACCUCUGUCAGAAGGGAAGAAACUACAUUGUGCUAAUCAGCAGUGUACUGACGGUACCUUCAAAGGAAGCACCGGCUAACUCCGUGCCAGCAGCCGCGGUAAUACGGAGGGUGCAAGCGUGAAUCGGAAUUACUGGGCGUAAAGCGCACGUAGGCUGUAGUGUAAGUCAGGGGUGAAAUCCCACGGCUCAACCGUGGAACUGCCUUUGAUACUGCACAACUUGAAUCCGGGAGAGGGUGGCGGAAUUCCAGGUGUAGGAGUGAAAUCCGUAGAUAUCUGGAGGAACAUCAGUGGCGAAGGCGGCCACCUGGACCGGUAUUGACGCUGAGGUGCGAAAGCGUGGGGAGCAAACAGGAUUAGAUACCCUUGUAGUCC